AACCCAGACCGCCAGCUAAGGUCCCAAAGUCAUGGUUAAGUGGGAAACGAUGUGGGAAGGCCCAGACAGCCAGGAUGUUGGCUUAGAAGCAGCCAUCAUUUAAAGAAAGCGUAAUAGCUCACUGGUCGAGUCGGCCUGCGCGGAAGAUGUAACGGGGCUAAACCAUGCACCGAAGCUGCGGCAGCGACGCUGAUGCGUUGUUGGGUAGGGGAGCGUUCUGUAAGCCUGUGAAGGUGUGCUGUGAGGCAUGCUGGAGGUAUCAGAAGUGCGAAUGCUGACAUAAGUAACGAUAAAGCGGGUGAAAAGCCCGCUCGCCGGAAGACCAAGGGUUCCUGUCCAACGUUAAUCGGGGCAGGGUGAGUCGACCCCUAAGGCGAGGCCGAAAGGCGUAGUCGAUGGGAAACAGGUUAAUAUUCCUGUACUUGGUGUUACUG
rnacentral:rRNA from 1 species